rnacentral:rRNA from 1 species
AUGUUGUGUUAUUAUAUUCUUCCCAAUAUGAUUCUCGAAGAUGAGAGAGACAUGACAUUGGAGUUCUUCUACGACAAUGUGGGUAGCCGUGCCAAACCAGUUAGAGACCCUAACCACAUUAGAGCUUUUCUUCAGACAUGCAAAGAGAUUGAAAGUGCAAACACCCACUUUCAGCUUCAGGAGGAUCUCAUUGAGCACCAGGACGGUAACAAAACUCUUUUUUCUAUUCAUUUUCAUUUAAUUCAUGUGUUAUUUGUAUUGAGGACAAGUUUUAUAUUGCAUUAUUUAGUUUGCUUCGGUGAUUUGAUUUGUAAUGUGGAUGAGUGUUGUGUUGUGAUGUGGCAUUGA